UUGCCAUGAUGAGAUCUUUCAGUGUUAAAAGCAGACCCCUGCUUGAUGAAUCUGGGAAAUACUUUUUCCUCCUGAGCGGUUACCUGAGCAA
rfam:Hordeum vulgare subsp. vulgare, WGS project CAJW01000000 data, contig: morex_contig_1577449